GUUAAUUAUAUAUUUUUUCUUGUAAUAUAUACAAAAAUUAAUUUCUAUACAAAGGUGACCUUUGUUGCACCAUUAUUCCCCUUGAAAUCGAUUGCCUGAACGCCUUGAUCGGACUCGGAAAAUACCAGCCCUUCGCUUUGGAUGAUUUUACGUCAGCAACACCGGAAGCUGACGUCACACCAACCGCCAUAGACCUCGAUUUCCGCAUCAUCCUCCUCCUCUCAUCUUCUUCCUUCUUCUUUUUCCCAUCUUCUUGUUGUAAAAUAGCAAAGUUUCUCUCCACAUCGCCUCUCUUACUCCUGUUACCGCUACUACUGCUAGUUUUGAACAGUGACCAAAACGGAGAUGUCGUCUUUGGGCUUUCUUUGCGGAUAGAGCUAUCAGAGUCAAUCGGUGGCUUUGACCGGAGAAAUGGAAUUGCUAGUGACCUCGACCGGCGGAAGGAAGGCUCGCUCUCGAUCAGAUUGGACACGCGGCCGACAGUUCCGAUUCCUGAGGCGAUUGAUUCGGCAGCGGAAGCGGUGGAGAAUCGAGAGAAAGAAGACGAAGUCGAGGAGGACGUUGUCACCGCGUAGCAAGCACACGGCCGUACGUUGGUGCAGUCCGGGCAGAGGGAAGAGAGUCUCUCCCGGAGGCACACGUGGCAGAUUCCUGUACGGCGGCGCUUCGAAGGGUGUUUCGGACAUUUCCAAACCUCCUCUUCAUCGAUGUAAAGCGCCAUUUUUCGGCC
rnacentral:misc_RNA from 1 species